rnacentral:ncRNA from 2 species
AAACUAGAUGAACUCCGAGCGGUUUUGCCUAAGUCCUAGCGAUAGGGGGAAACCAGCCGUCAGCCGACGUUCGAGCUGUAAGGGUCAGGAAAGAAAUGCCCUGGCCUCCCGUAUUUGGAAAGGUGUUUAUGUUGCCACUUG